CUUAUUUACUGUACUGAUAACGAUCGGGAUUACAGAUCGAAAACUUUGCUAAAUAAAUCAACAUCGUAUUUUCAACAAAAUUAAAAGUACUUACAAUAUUUUCAUCAAAUUAUCUAUCUGUUCCGUAAGUUCUCACAAAUCCGAUCUAUCAGACAAGUGCAUAGUUUCUUCCUUGCUUUUUCAUGCGUCGACAACAGAUGACUUGAACAUAUUCCAGUCAGGUUUUCACAAUUUGCUUGAUUUCAGUUCAAACGAUAAAUACCAACGAUGACUGUUUCUUGACAAGAAAAACAGGCGAAAGCAGCAACCAGGUAACUGUUUGAAUCAAUAUCUUCACAAUUUUGCUGUCAUCAUAAUUACCACUAUCACUUAAUCACCAUCCUUAUAAUCACCAUCAUUACCAUCGUAACAAUCAUCUGUACCAUCAUAACCUCCAUCACCGUCCUAAGUGACAAAACCUUAACUAUCAGCAUUUUUACACUAUCGUCACUGUCAUCACCUCUAUCAUCGCUACCAGCAUCAGCACUGUUAUAAUCAUCGCAACACUGCAAUAAUAAUCACUAUCACCAUUUUCACCAUCACAACACUGCAAUUACCACUAUCACCAUUAUCACCAUCUCAACACUGCAAUCUCAGUCAUCAUCACGACAAUUAUCACCGCAAUUUUCACCACCAUCAUAAUGACCAUCACCACCACCAACACCAUCAGUAAUAUUACUGUACUAUCAUUUCUAAUCUACAUCUAUGAUCAUUACCAUCAUCACCAACACCAUCAUACACUUAAAUAAUCUGCCAUCAGCUUUUCACGAUCAAUACCUCAUGCAAGG
rnacentral:lncRNA from 1 species